rnacentral:snRNA from 1 species
GUGCUCACUUCAGCAGCACACAUACUAAAUUUGGAACCCUGUAGAGAUGAACAUGGCUGCUAUGCGAGAAUGACUGCAAAUUGGUGAAGCAUUCCGUGUAUUU